GGAGCAGUGGUUUAUCUCGCCUCCCAGUCACGGAGGAGAUCGUGGGUUCAAAUCCCACAACCU
rnacentral:tRNA from 1 species